UCUUAUUUGCAUCAAAUUUUGGCGCUACAUAAAUUUUUCCCACCUACUUUUAUUUCUUAACCUAAUUGGCAACAUUUUAUCCUUUCCUGUAUCCUUAUUAUCCCAAUUCAUCUCCUUCGCCGUCUUCGCCAUCGUCUUCCACAUCAAAUUCAACUCCAACGCGUUGCCAUCGAGAGCACAUUCAACUCCGACGCCUUAUUUCUCCCUUCAAUUGUUCAACUUCAAUUGUUCAACUGCAACGCGUUGCCAUCGUCCUAAAAUUGACGCCCUUUGGAAAUCUCCAGUCUUCUUCUACGUCGCCAUUCUGUGCUAACUGCUGGUCCUAAAAUUGACGCGUUGGCUGUCGAAUGUGUUUACUUCAAUCAAUAAUAAACGGAAACUUGUGAUCUUCAUAUCUUGUUGAAAUUCAGUAGAUGCUGACCCUGCAAUUGCGUAGAGAUUUAAAACCUUAAUUUGUAUUGUUGAAAGUGCAAUUUGCUCUUAACUGUAGUGGUGUGGUUCUUGGAUCAUUGCUGAUAAGAUUGGAUCAAUAUGCCAUAGCUAAAUUUGAGUGUACACCUACCAAUAAAGUACUCCACCUGCUUCCCUUAAUUGUUGCUAUCCCUAUUGCACUUACGACCACUGCUGCUGUUUGCCUUGUUUUUUUCCUCCACCGCUAGUUGUUGGUGGUUUCUUAACUUUGACUUGUAUAACAGUUAUGGGGACAAAUGUAUAUUCGGUUUUAAUUCUGUGUAGUUAUGUAAUUAGUAUAGAAUUUAGGCCAAAUGUCGUAAAAAGGACAAACCUUUCACAAAAGUUUCACAAAAGUCCUCACCUUUCAGUUUUGUCGAUUUUGGCCAAAAACUGAUUAUUUGGUUUCACAAAAGUCAUGAUCUUUCAAUUUUGUCGAUUUUGGCCAAAAAUGGAUUAUUUGGUUUCACAAAAGUCCUGACCUUUCAAUAUAUGUGCAUGCCACGUAGGCGCCACAUAGGCAAAAUUUAAAUCAAAUUGAGAGUUGAGCACAAUUGAAACCAAAUAAUCUGUUUUUGGCCAAAAUCGACAAAAUUGAAAGGUCAUGACUUUUGUGAAAUUUUUAUGAAAGGUUUGACCUUUUUACGAGAUUUGGCCUAGAAUUUAUAGUUGAAAAUUAUUCUACUUGCUUUCUUGAGUUAUACAAAGUUAAAUACAAUAUAUUUUUUAAA